AAAACAACAGUGUUACCCCUUAUGGUUAUUUUCAUGACGAACAAAGAAAAACGACAGUGUCACCCCUCAUGUUUCAUUUGAUAAAAACGACAGUGUUACCCCCUAUGUUUUAAUUGAUAAAUAUCGACAGUGUUACCCCUUAUGUUUUUUUUCAUGACGACCAAUAAAAAAUGACAGUGUUACCCCUUAUGUUUUUUUCAUGACGACCAAUAAAAAACAACAGUGUUACUUACCCCUUAUGUUUUUUUUCAUGCCGACCAAAGAAAAACGACCGUGUCACCCCUCAUGUUUCAUUUGAAUAAAACGACAGUGUUACCCCCUAUGUUUUAAUGGAUAAUUAUCGACAGUGUUACCCCUUAUGUUUUUUUCAUGACGACCGAUAAAAAGGACAGUGUUACCCCUUAUGUUUCAUUUGAUAAAAACGACAGUGUUACCCCUUAUGUAUAUUUCAUGACGGGCGAUAAAAAACGACAGAGUUGCCCCUCAUGUUUUUUCAAUGUUGACCAAUAAAAAACGACAGUGGUACCCCUGUCGACUUUUUUGCAGGGUUCCGAACCUGAGCUGUUUAGAGUGUUAACCUCCGAACUUAUCAAUGCACCAUCAAGACACCGAAUAAAGACUUCACAAUGGUUAUACUUGACUUUAUAAUUCGCAUGAAAUAGAAAUAAGAGACUUCCAACAGAGGACAUCAACCGGACUUGAACCCCGGUCUCCAGUGGGUUAGCUCACAGCUCUCACCACAUCCCACUGAGAUUUGGUAUUUCAAUAUGUCUGAGGUUAUAUAUGACAAUAGGUGCAAUAGACAUGAUAGCGUUACGUUUAAAAUUAAUGAUAUUGUGUUUUGCUCAGAAAUUGAGCCGCUGUCUCUAGUGGGUUAGGCAGAGUGUACACCACUGCACCACUGAGGCGAUGACAAUACACAAAUAUCAAUCAUCAAUAAAGAGGAUAUUACAUUAAAAUGUAUGUGUGUAUUUCUAUUAUUUCCCUUAUGUUUUUUUUCAUGACGACCAAUAAAAAACGACACUGUUACCCUUUAUAUUUUAUUUGACAAAAACAACAGUGUUACCCUUUGUUUUUUUCAUGACGACCAAUAAAAAACGACAAUGUUACCCCUUGUGUUUUUUUUCAUGAUGGCCAAAGAAAAACAACGGUGUUACCCCCUAUGUUUUAUUUGAUAAAUAUCGACAGUGUUAUCCCUUAUGUUUUUUUUCAUGACGACCAAUAAAAAACAACAGU
ensembl:lncRNA